rnacentral:misc_RNA from 1 species
ACGCGUCCCGCAGCGUUUUGGGACUCAAACGCCCCGCAAUCUGGGACUCGCGAUCUGGAUCGCAAUACCCAGGUGAAGGUGAUGAAUCUGGUAACUAUGGUUGCCACCCCAAUCACAAGGCAUAUAUUGUAUUAACAUGCUCAUCAGUACAUUUUUAUAAGUGUUGAAGCCAAAGUAAGAUUUUGUACAUCAUUUUCGUUUAUUUGGUUGGAAACUUGGAAUAGGGUCAAACCCAAUGGAAACUUGAUCCUCUCACAAUUUCAGUAGGACUUAAACAGUGUCCAAGACUUAGAGUGAACCUCCUAUUUUAAUUUUGUAGUGCAAUUGCACUUCAGAAUGAUAAUUUGGUCAUUCUUUAUCAUCAGUUGUAAAAUCAAUUUAUCAUGGAUUGCAUUUUUCAUAAUUUUUGAAGUUCGGUGGUAUAUGCAUGUCCUUUAGCAUGUACGUUUGUUGGAAUGUCUCAGUAUCUCAUCAUUUUAGCUGCUUCUGAUAUGGUGGAGUUCCAUUUUGCUUUUGUUCAAAAGAGGAGAAAAAAGUUCAGUUUUGAUGGCAUUAUACACUUUGCUCUUAGAACUUAUAGCUGCCAUGAUUCAUUUUGGAUCAUGUUGAUAUCUUGGAGAAGGCUGGAAUUUGAUUUAGAUGGGAAAAGAAAAAUAGUGAAUAAAGUCAAACUCUUUUGCCUCUUGGUGAUCAACUUCUUAAAGUUUGUAUGUUAGGAUCAAAUAGUAAGAUUAUUUCUUGCAUUUCUUGAGAACUAUCCUAGGAGAAUAAUGUAUUUGUUUUUUCAAACUUAGAGCAUUUAUGUUGAUAUUGUUGUAUUUCUACCAUUUGUACUCUUUUCGAGUUGCAUUUUCCAUUGAUAAUUGAUGUUGUUCUCCUUUUCGACAGGUUAUGGAUGUCGAGUUCAAGGAUUUGCAAAAGAGAAGAGCAUCAAGGGGGUUAGAUGACCAUUGCUCUGAUGCUUAAGUCAGUUAUGAGAACUGGAUUGUAGAAUAGAUAGGCAAAAACUGAGUAGUGUGCAUACCUGAUAGCCCUUAUAUAGGCCUUUGAUGUGAAUUCUUAUUAAGAUUAGGAGUCUGUG